rnacentral:lncRNA from 1 species
UCUCAAACUCCUGGACUCAAGCAAGCCUCCUACCUCGGCCUCCUGAAGUGUUGGGAUUACAGGCAUGAGCCACGGUGCACAGCAAGAGCUUUAACCUUAAUGACCAUUCAUUCUCUACCCCACAUUACCUACAACUGAUACAGCAUGCGAAGAGGGUCUUUGCUUACCCUUCACCUUCCACCAUGAUUAUUGGGUUUUUCUGGUACCUCUACCUGGAAGGAGAUGAGAGGGCAGAUCUUUCAACAUAAUAAUUCCCCAAAGAUCUACAAGAACCUAUUCAUAUUAUUAAGAUUAACCCUGUGAAGUGGGCAUUAUAAUGAUCCACAAUUUCCAUGAGGGAGUUGAAGCCCAAUGGAGUUGAGCAACUUGCUGAAGGUCACACAGCUCGUAAGUCACAGAGCCAAGAUUCAAACCCAGACACUCAACUCCAGGAUCCACGUCUCUAUCUUUUUAAAGCCCAGUGACUCCACAAACCAGCUCAAAGCCACUCCGCUGGAUGAUGCCUAAGAUACCCUUCAGUCUUCAAGUGUGUCAGCCUAUGAGUAA